CCAGCAGUGAUGAAAAGCUGUGUAACCUCUCAUGGAGGACUUCUGCCCAGGAAGAACUACCUCUGAAGACAAGCACUGGCCUCUGUGUUAAGAGAAGUAAAACCAGUGUCCAUUUGGUUAAUGAACUAAGGAAUUGGGGGUUUUCUUUAACCAGUGGCAUUAUUUACCCUACUGAUACAGCCGCAUAAAAGACAGAGGCCAAGACUAUCCAACAAGAUGACCCCAGAGGAGACAGAAUUGAUUGACUGAAAGACAAGAGCCGUAGCUGAAUCCUAAGUCUCAUGUGUUUUAUUUCCUUUUGCUUUGAGACAAAAUCUUACUGUAUAAAGAAUUCAUUUAAUGAAUAAAAAAUUAUUUAGAUGAGAAUUCUGAGGAAAACUGAAAAUUGUCACAGACAAACAACAUACAGAUAGAAAAGAUUAAAGUGAAAAGCUAAACACAAUAAGGAAACUUGAAAAAUAAUUUCAUUAAAUUCUAUAAUAAUACAAAUAUAAAAUAGAAAAAUAAUAUUUUUCGAAAAUCAACUACAGAAAAUAGCAAUGCAGGUGCAAGUCACCUACAAAGGGUUGAGAAUCAUAGCAUCAACUGAAUUCUCAGUGACAGUGUGAUUAGCAGAAAUAAAUAGACUAAGGUUUUCCAUCAAACUACCAAAAAAAAACUUGUUUACACCCCUAUUCUAUACCUAAUCAAAAUAUUCAUCAAGCAUAAAGAUAGCAUAGAGUCAAUUUCACAUAUGUGGGGAUUGAAUUAUUCCUGAAACAAAUAUUAAUAUAGGUCCCACAACAAAAUAUAAUCUUCAAAAAGAAAAGGUAGACGUAAGAAACAAUGAUGCAAUGAGAAAUUUUUCAAAAUUCUAUUAACAGCAGUGAAUAUCUUAGGAAAAUGAUAUAUUUCAGACACUGCAAGAAUUGAAAUAUUAAAGAAGGUGAGCAAUCUUAGGCAGAAUGUGAGCCAAUGCUCCACCCCAGGACUUUGUCAGAGAGCUGUGAGUAUACCAGACACCAACAAAGACACCAAACUAUGCAUUGGCUCAAGCUUGUGUUGUCAGUACUGAUGGGCAAUCAUCAACACUGCCAACUGUGGGUGCCAAUGAUUAGUACUGUAUAACAUUCCCCCAGGCUUUGAGAUGACGACCUAGCAACCUGAUUACUGGUGACCCCCUUUUGUCACCAGAGAACCAAACCUAAUUUCAGUGCAUAUAUUUUAAAGGAGAAUUGUCUUUCCUUAUCUAUAGUGCUGCUGUAAGCAUCAAUAUCCUUGACGUUUUUUGACAAAAUAUCUUAUUUCAUAGUUUUAUGAUUUAUACCCACGGAAUGUUCAGUUAUCACAGGCUCCCUCUCAGAAGCAGCUUGAUGAAAGUAUGGAGUGGCCUGGCUAUGAAAAGUUUCCCCACAUGGCUGACCUGGAAGGCUAGAACAAUAUGCUAGAGUGUGUGACAUAUAUAUCAUCUUAGGAGAGACAUGUUGCCUUAUCUCUUCUUGCCGGAACACUGGAGGCUGAGAAAUCAAGGAGCAGAUCUAGGACUGAGCCUUUCACUGUUUUACCUUACAGACCAAUAAAGACUUUUCUUUCUUUUCAACACCUUGUUCCAUUUCUAUUCAUGGGAGAAUUGUUUCCACCGAGAAGAAAAGUCAUUGUUUCACUAAAUGGGAAGCUGAUACUGUCCUCUGACACUUAUGGUUGCUCACGAUGCUAAGACAACAAGCAACAAAGUUAGACAAAGGCUUGGAUUCUCAUGACCAUUUAUGAGUCUCGUGGCCACUCAUGGGAAAGUUGGUGGCUGUUGCACUAUGGAAGCAAGCAGAUUUUUUCCAAUAUUGCCCACUAUUCCUAGAUAAUAUGUCAUCAAUUCACAGGCUAGAAGUUCAAUGACAAUAUACUCAAAUCCUCUGAAAAUGAAGAUAUGAUUCAUUCUAACAAAGAACUCCAUCCAUGUGAGCUGCUUGAAGAAGAGAGAGAAAACUUAAUGGGAAAGCUCAGACACUUGCUUCUCCUGCCCCUGUGCUCCUGCUUCAUACAAAGCAACUCUAUUCAGCCAUGAAUCUGCAUGAAAGAGACCUUCUAAGAAAAUAUUAGGUGCUGGAACAAGCAGACCCCAAGCUGCACGACCAUAGUGAUGACUUAUGACUUGGUCAUGGAAAGUCCUAAAUGGUGGAUUUGGGUUGAUAGGAAUUACCUCUCUUUUUAAGGAAAACCUCAAAGACUCAAGAAUGGUUGCUGUUUUCAUAACUGCUAUUUAAAAGAAUAUAAUUUCCAAAAUCUUUCUGCUUAGUUGCAUCAUCGGGAAACAGAAAAUAAAACACAAAGUGCACUUGA